UGCCAGCCGCCGCGGUAAUACGGAGGGUGCAAGCGUCGUUCGGAAUUAUCGGGCGUAAAGCGCGUGUAGGCGGUUCGUUAAGUCUGAUGUGAAAGCCCGGGGCUCAACCCCGGAAGUGCAUUGGAAACUGGCGAACUUGAGUACGGGAGAGGAGAGAGGAAUUCCUGGCGUAGAGGUGAAAUUCGUAGAUAUCAGGAGGAACACCGAUGGCGAAGGCAUCUCUCUGGACCGAUACUGACGCUGAGGCGCGAAGGCGUGGGUAGCGAACGGGAUUAGAUA
rnacentral:rRNA from 1 species